rnacentral:snRNA from 1 species
GGGCUCGCUUCAUCAACACAGAUGCUAAAAUUAGAAUGGUAUAGAGAUUGCAUAAACCCAUGCACAAGGAUGACAUGCAAGUUCAUGAAGGUUCCAUAUUUUUU